rnacentral:rRNA from 1 species
CCUACGGGUGGCUGCAGUGGGGGAUAUUGCACAAUGGGGGAAACCCUGAUGCAGCGACGCCGCGUGUGGGAAGACGGUCCUAUGGAUUGUAAACCUCUGUCCCCAGGGACGAAGAUCACGGUAUCUGGGGAGGAAGCUCUGGCUAACUACGUGCCAGCAGCCGCGGUAGUACGAAGGGAGCGAGCGUUGUCCGGAAUGACUGGGUGUAAAGGGAGCGUAGGCGGGGAUGCAAGUUGGGGGUCAAAUCUACCGGCUCAACUGGGUGUCGCAGUCGAACCUGCAGCUCUUGAGUGAAGUAGAGGCAGGCGGAAUGCGUAGUGUAGCGGUGAAAUGCAUAGAUAUUAGGAGGAACACCAGUGGCGAAGGCGGCCUGCUGG